rnacentral:snoRNA from 2 species
UGCGUAUGAUGAGUACAAAAAAAAAAUUUUAACUUUCGUUCUUCUGUAUCGUUAGAAGUGAAGAUAAUUUUUGUGUCUGACGCGA